CUCACAUCCCGCCCCUCCUUCCCCCUCGCUGAGCACCAAGAAUAACUUCCUGCUGGGGAUGAGGGGCAGCUACGACAGUGCCG
rnacentral:lncRNA from 1 species